CAAGUCGAACGAAUCCCAGAGGGCUUGCUCUUUGGGGGAAGUGGCGAAAGGGGCAGUAAGGCGUGGGUAACCUACCCCGGGGACGGGGAUAGCCAUUCUAACGAGUGGGUAAUACCUGGCGAUCUGAUCGAGGGGCAUCUCUUGGUCAGGAAAUGAAUUUCGCCUCGGGAGGGGCUCACGUAGUAUUAGCUUGUUGGUGGGGUAACGGCCUACCAAGGCGAAGAUGCUUAGCGGGUGUGAGAGCACGACCCGCGCCACUGGCACUGAGACACUGGCCAGACUCCUACGGGAGGCUGCAGUCGAGGAUCUUCGGCAAUGGGCGCAAGCCUGACCGAGCGACGCCGCGUGUGCGAUGAAGGCCUUCGGGUUGUAAAGCACUGUCGAGGGGAAGAAAGCCGCAAGGUUGAUCGACCCCUGGAGGAAGCACGGGCUAAGUUCGUGCCAGCAGCCGCGGUAAGACGAACCGUGCGAACGUUGUUCGGAUUCACUGGGCUUAAAGGGCGCGUAGGCGGGUGGUCAAGUCAGGGGUGAAAUCUUUCGGCUCAACCGGAAAAGUGCCUUUGAUACUGGCCAUCUCGAGUGAGGUAGGGGCAUGUGGAACUUCCGGUGGAGCGGUGAAAUGCGUAGAUAUCGGAAGGAACGCCGGUGGCGAAAGCGACGUGCUGGACCUUUUCUGACGCUGAGGCGCGAAAGCCAGGGGAGCAAACGGGAUUAGAUACCCCGGUAGUCCUGGCCCUAAACGAUGGGUACUGGAUUGUGGACUUAACAUGGGUUCACAGUCGCAGCAAAAGUGUUAAGUACCCCGCCUGGGGAGUAUGGUCGCAAGGCUGAAACUCAAAGGAAUUGACGGGGGCUCACACAAGCGGUGGA
rnacentral:rRNA from 1 species